AACGAACGCUGGCGGCAUGCCUAACACAUGCAAGUCGAACGAGACCUUCGGGUCUAGUGGCGCACGGGUGCGUAACGCGUGGGAACCUGCCCUUAGGUUCGGAAUAACUCCCCGAAAGGGGUGCUAAUACCGGAUAAUGUCUUCGGACCAAAGAUUUAUCGCCUUUGGAUGGGCCCGCGUUGGAUUAGCUAGUUGGUAGGGUAAAAGCCUACCAAGGCGACGAUCCAUAGCUGGUCUGAGAGGAUGAUCAGCCACACUGGGACUGAGACACGGCCCAGACUCCUACGGGAGGAAGCAGUGGGGAAUAUUGGACAAUGGGCGAAAGCCUGAUCCAGCAAUGCGGCGUGAGUGAUGAAGGCGUUAGGGUUGUAAAGCUCGUUUACCCGGGAUGAUAAUGACAGUACCGGGAGAAUAAGCGCCGGCUAACUCCGUG
rnacentral:rRNA from 1 species